rnacentral:rRNA from 1 species
GACGAACCGAGCGAACGUUAUUCGGAAUCACUGGGCUUAAAGGGCGCGUAGGCGGAUCAAAAAGUCAGGGGUGAAAUCCCACGGCUCAACCGUGGAAGUGCCUUUGAUACUUUUGAUCUCGAGGGAGGUAGGGGCGUGCGGAACUUCCGGUGGAGCGGUGAAAUGCGUAGAUAUCGGAAGGAACACCGGUGGCGAAAGCGGCGCGCUGGACCUCUUCUGACGCUGAGGCGCGAAAGCCAGGGGAGCAAACGGG